rnacentral:rRNA from 1 species
UACGUAGGUGGCGAGCGUUGUCCGGAUUUACUGGGCGUAAAGAGCGCGCAGGCAGUCGUGCAAGUCGCGUGUGAAAGCCCCCGGCUCAACUGGGGAGGGUCACGCGAUACUGAUCGACUCGAAGGCAGGAGAGGGUAGUGGAAUUCCCGGUGUAGUGGUGAAAUGCGUAGAUAGUCCGGAGGAACACCGGUGGCGAAGGCGGCUUCCUGGACCGACACUGACGCUGAGGCGCGAAAGCUAGGGGGAGCAAACGGG